AACGACGCUGGCGGCGCGUCUUAAGCAUGCAAGUCGAGCGGUAUGGAGAAGCUUGCUUCUCCAGAGAGCGGCGGACUGGUGAGUAACACGUGGGUGACCUACCCUUAGGAUGGGGAUAGCCACUAGAAAUAGUGGGUAAUACCGAAUGUGGUUGCGAGACUGUGGUCUUGCAAAGAAGGGAGCUACGGCUCCGCCUGAGGAUGGGCCCGCGUCCCAUUAGCUAGUUGGUGAGGUAACGGCCCACCAAGGCGAUGAUGGGUAGCCGGCCUGAGAGGGUGAACGGCCACACUGGGACUGAGAUACGGCCCAGACUCCUACGGGAGGCAGCAGCUAAGAAUAUUCCGCAAUGGACGAAAGUCUGACGGAGCGACGCCGCGUGGAUGAAGAAGGCCGAAAGGUUGUAAAAUCCUUUUGUCGAUGAAGAAUAAGCAUGGGAGGGAAUGCCCGUGUGAUGACGUUAGUCGGCGAAUAAGCCCCGGCUAAUUACGUG
rnacentral:rRNA from 1 species